AUGAAAGGUAAAUUCAAACAAUAAGAUUAUUAUUUUCUUUAUUAUACAUAUUUUAUAUGUGUCAGGUAAACUCCCAAAGGCAAUUGUCAGUUGUGAUGUCGACAUGUGUAUUCAAAAAUACAAAUGUGGGACCACGAUAUUAACCCUUCUACAGUACAUACAUGUACCCCUUACAAUUAACAUGUCAUUUUAGAAUGACUUUAUAAAAAGCUCCUAAAAAUAUUUGCAUCAGUAAAGUUCAAUAUUGCGAUAAUAAACAACCAUGCCUAAGUUUAAACUUUCACACCGAGACAACUUGGAAAUUAUUGCCCUUUACAGACAGAGAUUGGCCCGUUCAUGCCAUUGUUAGGAGGUUAGCUGAAAUAGGUAUAGAUGUAACCUGGGGUACGGUGAAGAAUGUCAUCAAACGAUACCAAUACGGAAAGAUUGGGUAUGAAAACUUCAAUCAUAAAGACCAAAAUCUACCGAAAUUUCAGUACAUAACAGAUCAAGACAUCAACUUUGUGAAGACAGCACAGACUGAAAAUCCAACAAGAACAGCUACCGAUAUUAAACAUAUCUUAGCAGACAAAGGCACUCACACCAGUAAGUCAACUGUGAGAAAAGUCAUUGAUGCAGCCGGAUUCACAGCUUCUAAACCAGAUACGGUCAAAUGGUUAGAGACGUUAACAAGGAGAAACGGGUCCAAUUUGCCAGAGAGGUCAUUUCAAACGACGAUCAUUUUAACAAUGUCAUUUUUACAGACGAGUGCUCCGUGCAGUUGCAUAACAACAAGAUAG
rnacentral:sRNA from 1 species